CGGAUCGGAGUCUGCAACCCGACUCCGUGAAGCUGGAUUCGCUAGUAAUCGCGCAUCAGCCACGGCGCGGUGAAUACGUUCCCGGGCCUUGUACACACCGCCCGUCAAGCCAUGGAAGCCGGGGGUGCCUGAAGUGCGCUGCCGCAAGGAGCGUCCUAGGGUAAAACCGGUGACUGGGGCUAAGUCGUAACAAGGUACC
rnacentral:rRNA from 1 species